AUGUCCGUUUUACCCCAAACUCGGCACAAGUUUGGGCCGGAAAUUGGUCAAAAACGGACGAAAUUCGAACAUUUGUCCGUUUGGGGCCGCAUGUUGGGCCACGCUGUUCGUCUGUUCUAUCCCAAACGAAUGCACCCGGAUAAGAUGGGGUCGCGCGGUUCAGAAUCGAAACGCAAGACGGCACUCCGGUUGUUGACCCCGCCGCCCGAGCUUGCUGCUGCACAACCAUCGCCGCCGCCGCCGCCGCCGCCGCCGGGUCUCCCUUGUCCUGCUCACAGCUGCUCACGCCCCUCAGAGACAAUUCAAAUGGAAACCAAUGGGUUAUCUAUCAAGAGUCAGGAAAUCGGGUCAAAAAGAAAGUGGGAGACUAACGCAGACCUCAGCCGCCGCUUUUGCACUAGCCAAAAUGAAAGUCCAUGGGAAGGCGGUGCAGCGAAGCACAUCACAUGCCAUUCCUCUGAGUACCAAGGCCAGUCUUCGCAAGAGUGUCCUCCAUGGAAUUAUGGUUCGCUCACUACCUCGCCAGGGAGGCAAAAAGAUUUCCGUUUUUGCAGUAACCAACAUAAAAGUCCAUGGGAAGGCGGCACAACAGAGCACAUCGCAUGGCAUUCCUCUUGGUACCAAGGCCACUCUUCACAAGAGUGGCCUACACGGAAUGGUGCUUCGCUCACCCCCUCGCUAGGGAGGCAAAAUGAUUUCCGCCUUUGCAGUAACCAACAUACAAGUCCAUGGGAAGGCGGCACAACAGAGCACAUCGCAUGCCAUCCCUCUUGGUACCAAGGCCACUCUUCACAAGAGUGGCCUACACGGAAUGGUGGUUCACUCACCCCCUCACCAGAGAGGAAUGAUUUCCAUGUUUCAGGAGGUCAAUUCUUUCUGACAUUCAACCCAUACGAACAAGAUGUAGAAAGUAGGUACCUUCAGGACAAAAAGAACGGGGUAAUCACUUGUUUGGUCUGUGGCAAGGAAGGACAUUACAGUAGUAAGUGCCGUUUCAAGGAUCAAGAGCACAGAAUCAUUUGCACAGUCUGUGGCAAAAAUGGCCACUGUAGCAUGUGGUGUUGCCAGCAGAACAAGUCGGAGAAUCGAGCUUGCACCCGCUGUGGAGAGAUAGGGCAUAGUAUCAGUACACAUGGUCUCAGUUGCUCAAGCUGCGACGAGCAUCAUGACGAUGGAGAGUGCCGAUUGAGCGAAGUUAAAUGCUUUAUUUGUGAAUGUCAGGAUCAUUAUCUUGCUCAGUGCCCCUUGAAUUCAGUAUUGACUGAGGCAGUUAAGGGUCAGAGAGACAACUUCCAAGCUGCUCUGCGGCUUGCACUAUCAAAACAAGGCAACCCAUCAUCUACACCUGCCAAGUGUUCCGCAAAAUCAGAAGGAAAAAUACUGACCGCCAACAACUCUAGUCCAAUUUGCUUUACAAGCCGUGAAGAAGGUCACUAUGCCCGUAUGUGUCCGCAGAAGUUCAGAGCUAUAUCUGGCAACAUGUCAAAAGAAGUAGAAGAGAGCAGCACUAUAGUUACAUCCUCCAACAUGUCCAAAGUAUUAGAAGAACAGGACCCUGAUAUUGCUAAACAGUCAUCAGAAAUGAAGCCGGCAUCGGUUGUCCAUUGUGUAAGGUGUGGUCAGGAAGGGCACAGGGCCAAGAGCUGUCCAACACGGGUGUUUACAUGCUACAAAUGCAAUGAAGAAGGCCACGCAUCCAGGGAUUGCCCUCAGAACCAAUCAUCAGAAAUGAAGCCUAAAUCGAAUGUCCACUGUGUAACGUGUGGUGAGGAUGGGCACAGGGCCAAGAGCUGUCCAACACGGGUGUUUAUAUGCUACAAAUGCAAUGAAGAAGGCCACAUAUCCAGGAAGUGCCCUCAGAACCAAUCAUCAGAAAUGAAGCCUAAAUCGAAUGUCCACUGUGUAAGGUGUGGUGAGGAAGGGCACAGGGUCAAGAGCUGUCCAACAUGGGUGUUUACAUGCUAUAAAUGCAAUGAAGAAGGCCACACAUCCCAGAAUUGCCCUCAGAACCAAUCAUCAGAAAUGAAGCCUAAAUCGAAUGUCCACUGUGUUAGUUGUGGUCAGGAAGGGCACAUGGCCAAGAGCUGUCCAACACGAGUGUUUACAUGCUUCAAAUGCAAUGAAGAAGGCCACAUAGCCAAGAAUUGCCCUCAGAAGCGUUAA
rnacentral:rRNA from 1 species